AUAAUACGGCCCGGUUCCCAGUUGUUGACCAGUAGUUGCAGGUAAAGUGCUGGGUUGUUGCAGUGGAAGUACUGGAUAGUUAGACAGUAAGGAAAGACAAGGGUGAUCUUAAGGGCUGGGUAACUUUAAAAGGUGAAUUGGUGUCUCUGAAAAAUAAAGAUAUUAAAUAAAUAAAGAUGUUUUGUACGUCUG